rnacentral:rRNA from 1 species
UGGGGAAUAUUGGACAAUGGGCGAAAGCCUGAUCCAGCCAUGCCGCGUGUGUGAAGAAGGCCUUUUGGUUGUAAAGCACUUUAAGUGGGGAGGAAAAGCUUAUGGUUAAUACCCAUAAGCCCUGACGUUACCCACAGAAUAAGCACCGGCUAACUCUGUGCCAGCAGCCGCGGUAAUACAGAGGGUGCAAGCGUUAAUCGGAAUUACUGGGCGUAAAGCGCGCGUAGGUGGUUAUUUAAGUCAGAUGUGAAAGCCCCGGGCUUAACCUGGGAACUGCAUCUGAUACUGGAUAACUAGAGUAGGUGAGAGGGGAGUAGAAUUCCAGGUGUAGCGGUGAAAUGCGUAGAGAUCUGGAGGAAUACCGAUGGCGAAGGCAGCUCCCUGGCAUCAUACUGACACUGAGGUGCGAAAGCGUGGGUAGCAAACAGGAUUAGAUACCCUGGUAGUCCACGCCGUAAACGAUGUCUACCAGUCGUUGGGUCUUUUAAAGACUUAGUGACGCAGUUAACGCAAUAAGUAGACCGCCUGGGGAGUACGGCCACAAGGUUA